UUUUUUCGAUGCAUUUUUUAUAGGAAAUAAAACAUUCAAGAGUAAAACCUUUAAUACAUCUGUUCUGAGUACAAUCAAAUAAGAAAGCGUUUCUAAUAGCAGUAGCUAAGGACUUAAUCUAAAUAUGAAUAUCAUGAAUAGAAUAUCUUGAGUUUAUAAUAGCGUUAGCAAAAAAAUUCAACUAUCGAUAGACAUUCACCCAAGAUAUUACUUAUUACAUAUAUCACAACCCAACUGCAAAAAGAAAAUAAACUCCUCAUUCAUAUUGAUACCUCCAGUUAUAAUUUUGUAUAUUACAAUUGUCUUGAAAAGCAAGCAAGCAUGUGUAGCAGCUACCACAUUCCUCAGCUUAAUGGCACGCAAUUAAUUAUGUCCUUGUGAAAUAUCCUUAAGAAAAGCAUCAAGGUUUCUAUCAGAUGAGCCACCAUUGACUAUUGCACCUCGACAAAUCUCUUGAAGUUGUUUAGCUCUUUCCCUCAAAUCCUUCCCCUCCUCGCUUUCCACAUCCAUAAACUUCUUCACAAGUUCUGCAAUUUCCUCGCUACUCACAACAAGUUCGACCCCCACCUUCUUCUUCACCCGGUAUCCAAUCCUCCAAUCUUCCACAAUCUGCUUACCGUUAGGAAUUUGAUCCCAAAGUAUAGGGAAAGUAAGAAUUGGAAGACCAGCAUAAACAGCUUCCAAAGUUGAAUUCCAGCCACAAUGUGACCAAAACCCGCCAAUCGAAUCGUGACACAAAACCCUCAAUUGGUCACACCAAGGCACCACCAAACCCAAAUCACCAACACAAUCUCUCAACUCACAAGUAUCUCCACGAGCCACCCAAAAAACCCUAACACCACUACUUUUCACCCCAGCAACAAUUUCAUCCAUUUGGGAUUUCGAAACUGAGGAAACUUCCCAUGGAGAUGUACAAAACAGACUUUUUGGGUUGAGAAUCUAGCCAAUGCAGAUAAUCGAUGUCGUUUUGAUUAGUGGUAAGUGUUUUUGAAAGUUCAAAGUGAGGUAUGCUUGGGCCAAUAGGGUAGAUAGCGAAAGCAAACUUGGCUUUGAUGGCUUCAAAGGCUUGCGGAUCAAGCUCAUAGACUGAACUAAACAAAAGAUACUGUGCUUCUACUACCUGAGAAACUGCUUCAAGGGGCUUCUGGAGGGCUUUUGGAUCGUCUACAAAAAACUUUGCGGGUAGAUCUGCAAUGCAUGUGGCGCUGACUCCAGGAAUGUAUUCUAUUAUCUCAUCUCCAUGCUCUGUAAUUUUCACAUCACAUUGAAUAUAAAAUUUUACGUUGUACAACAUUAUUAUAUUGUAUAUCAAGCAAGAAAAAUUGCUUCUUCUUUAACAAAAACAUAAAAUUGCACCAAGAAUACUCGUUAUAAAUUUAUGAGAGACUUUUUAGUGUGCCAGGAACACGGUCCGGUACAUAAAAUGUAUUAGAAGUUCGUAUUUUUUUUUCAGGUCUCCAAACAGAUAUUAUGACGUUUGGUGUACCUGGCCGUGUUUCCAAUACACAAAAAUUCUCCUUGGGUAGAUCCUAAAAGAGCAUACAUAUUAUAAAUGAUAUCAUGCUAUGUUACAGUUGAAAAUUACUAAAUUAACCAAUACAAAUUUUUCAUAAGAAUGUGUAAAGCUCGCAAAUGCAUCAGCUUCUUUAUAAAUUAGAGAAAGGCUUUAUGCAAUUAUUUCUGGUUACCAAUUUUAUGUUGUGCACUUAUUAGACAACAAGUGUCUUAAGAAGUAUAUGAAUAAAUAUAUUAUAGUGUCUGAGGCUAAAGAAGAAUCUAAUGUGUAUUAUACCAUAUUGUAGAGACAAAUUAAAGACCAAGGCAUAUUAAAUUGAUAAGGUCAUGGUAAAAUUCAUUAUAAAUUUAGCUGAACUGGUGUCAUGGUUCAAUUACUAUACUAUUAAUAUUAAUGUUAGAAAUCUCUAUAAACAUUAAGUUUAAUAUUUUUCGGCUGCAGUGUUAUCAAGGGCGAAUAAAAGCCCUGACCAACAAACUUAUUCGUGUUUGACUAUGUUGCGUAACUCCGAGUAUAGUUUACUCUGGAAAGAUUGGCGAGUUAAAGUUAUAUUACACGAAAAAGAAGCAAAGGAAGAAAAGUUUUAAGUAUUUUACUCUAACGUGAUUAAAGACUUGAGUGAAAUAAACUUAGAAAAGCAUCUCCUAAGGCAUCUAAGUCAUUCUAGAGGUAAGUGGCGCAUUUUGCCCUACAUCCAGCUUUUCAACUAAGAAUUCAGAAGUUUGACUAGAGGUCUAAAAUAUGGUUCAGAACUCAGGAAUAUCAAAUUUUUUAGAGACAAACAAGUAGGACUAGCUGGACUUGGUUAGCUCCAGAUCAACAAGCAAUUCAAAGUCAUUUCAAUUCACAUUCUAGAAAGGUCAUUUUGGAAGGAUUCGCUCAUGGUCCAUUGUGCUAUCCAUACUCAAGCGGAGCACAUUUUGGAAGCAUAGUUAGGGUAUUUGUGGGACCAUUAUUUUCUACAUUUUUGACACGUGGCACUCAGGAUGGUUAGACUGAACGAAAAUCUCUCAAAGUAAGAUGGAAGCUACAUGGGUAUUCCAAGUCAAACCACCACAUGCUAUGGCAGUGUGGGACGACUCCAUUAGCUCUAAGGCCAUUGAAGAUAUUACUUGUCUGGCAAGUAAAGAAAACCCUAAUUCGUGUAAAAUUAGGAUAUCUAUAGAUUAGACAAUGUAAUCAUAAUCUUGGAAGAAUUGGGUAUCUUACCCUAGAUUCCCUCAUAGAUAGUCUCUUGAUUUAAUGGGAAUUACUCUCAAGGUCUCUAUAAAAUACUAUAGCCUUGGUAUUUAUCAAGGGACUUCUCUCUGACUGUUUCUAUUUCUCUCAUACACACCGUUCGUCUACGUAGGCAUGGAUAAGCAUCUCCUAUACACGUUGUGCCAUAGAUUAUUCGUCAAUGAUAUAUUCAAUGUAUAGCACAUCAUACAUACUCUUUUCUAGAACACCCAUUGUUUGAUUCUCAUUCUUGAAGAUAUGUACAUAGUCCAAUAUGGAUUAACCCCCCCCACACCCCCCCCCCCCCCCCAAAAAAAAAUUCAGUUCAUUCAACCGUUGUUGUUAUUCAUGGGCAACUUGUUGUACCAGGUUGCAUUCCCGUAUACAGAAAAUAGUUACAAGAAUGAGAUGAGAGUCCAGAUGCUUGAUGAACACAAAAUAAGAAGAGCAAUUUUUACAGUGCUUUAAAUUUUGGCCCUUACAAUUCAUGAUUCCUAGAUAAAAAUACAUCUACAUAUAAACGUCCAAUAAAAAACCCAAAUUUAAAAUCUGCAGCCAUAUCGGAACACUAUUGACCUACUAAUACAAUUUAUUUACACUCAUGCCACUUUCUCAAAUCCCUAAAUUUAUUCCAAAUUAAAAGUUGUAGAAAAAAGUGAAAUAAAAUAUAUAUACUGUUGUAUUGCACUAAUUGUAUCCAUAUGAUACCAAAAGUUUACCUUUUUUGUGAUAUAUAUAUUUUGCAUUAAUUGGGAAGUAAAUUAAUUUGCUCCAAUUACUAAAAAAAAGUAUACUAAAUUUGUAUUAUAUAUUUUGAAUCAAAUAACACUUCUCUAACUUGUGCAUAAAUUAUUUUUCAUGUAUUGUUACAUAUAUUAGGCACGUUUUAUUGUUGUAUAAAUAUAGGUAUAGAAGAGAAUGCUUUGAAUAAUAAUAUAUUCUUCUCAAUAAGAGGAACUUAUAGGGGUACAACCCUAACAUAAAAGGAAAGAAAACUAAUUACAAGUUAUUACAUGGGAUUACAUAUCAAUUAGGGAUCCUACCUAAAAUACAAAAGUCAACACUCUCCCUCAAGUUGGUGCAUAUAUGUCGCUCAUGCCCAACCUGUGUAAGAAACUUGAAAACUUGUGACUCGAAACAGCUUUUGUGAGGAUAUCUGCCAACUGAUCUUCUGUUCUUAUCGCCGGUACUUCAAUUAUUUUCCUUUCCAAUUUUUCUUUGAUGAAGAACCGAUCAACUUCAACAUGCUUUGUUCUAUCAUGUUGUACCGGAUUAUGUGCAAUGUCACGAGCAACUUUAUUAUCACAAAAUAAUUUCAUGGGCUGAUCAUGUUGUAUACCCAAAUCGCUUAACAGAAGCUUAAGCCACAAAAUUUCACAAAUCCCCAAAGCCAUACCUUUGUAUUCUGCUUCUGCACUGGAACGGGCAACCACAUUCUGUUUCUUAUUUCUCCAUGUAACCAAGUUACCCCCAACAAACGUAAAGUAACCUGAUGUUGAGCGUCUAUCAUCAAUGGAACCUGCCCAGUCUGCAUCAGUAUAACCUUCAACACUAAAGUGAUUAUUCCUCUUAAACAAAAUUCCUUUGCCCGGACUUCCCUUCAAAUAUCGCAAUAUUCUCAUCACGGCAUUCAUAUGUUGUUCUCCAGGAUCAUGCAUGUAUUGACUCACUACACUCAAGGCAUAAGCAAGGUCCGGUCUUGUGUGUGCCAAAUACAUCAAACGGCCUACUAACCUUUGGUAUCUUCCUUUGUCAACUGGUACUUGAUUAGGAUAAACACUAAGCUUCAAUCCUUCUUCUAAUGGUGUAGCUACUGGCUGACAAGCUGACAUGCCAGUUUCGUGCAACAAAUCAAUAAUAUACUUCCUCUGAGACAAGAAAAUUCCAGAACUGUUUUCUCGACACCUCAAUCCCUAAAAAAUAUUUUUCAGGGAUCCAAGGUCCUUCAUUUCAAAUUCUGUAGACAGGUAUCUUUGCAAGGCCCCACGUUCUUCCGGAUCAUUACCUGUUACCACCAUAUCGUCUACAUACACAAUAAGUGCAGUAAGCUUCCCAUUCUGUCUUUUCAGGAACAAAGUAUGAUCAGAGUUACUUUGUAUGUAACCGAAUGCUCUCAUAGAUUUUGUGAAUCUUCCGAACCAUGCUCGAGGAGACUGCUUCAAGCCAUACAAGGAUUUCUUCAACCUGCACACUUUUCUUUUGUAUUUAUCUGAAGCAUUACAUCCCGGUGGAAGAUCCAUAUAAAUCUCUUCUGUCAAGUCUCCAUGCAAGAAGGCGUUCUUCACAUCGAACUGUUGUAAAUGCCAAUUAAGAUUUGCAGCCAAUGACAACAAACACGAACUGUGUUGAUCUUGGCUACAGGUGAAAAUGUAUAUGUGUAGUCGAUUCCAUAUUUUUGAGUGUAUCCUUUUGCUACCAGUCUUGCCUUGAAACGAUCCACCGUCCCAUCUGCUUUGUAUUUCACAGUAUAGACCCAUUUGCAUCCCACAGGUUUCUUACCUGCUGGCAAAUCUGUGAUUUCCCAGGUAGCAUUCUUCUUCAAAGACUUCAACUCUUCAUUCAUUGCUACUUGCCAACGUGGAUCAGUUAAAGCCUCAUGCACACUGUUAGGAAUAGAUACAGUAGAUAAUUGAUGCACAAACGACUUAUUUGAUUCUGACAGGUGACUGGUAGACACAUAAUUACUUAACGAGUAUAACACAUUAGACUCAGGGUUGGGCUUACUCACUGGAUACCUAGUUUUGCAUUUAGGGUCGGCUUCAUGAGUAAGUUUAGGAAUACCUCGGUUGACGCGAUCAGGGAGACGACGUGGUGGUGGUGCAUCCGGGAUCGAAGACGAUUGAUUAUGGUUAUUGGGACUCAAGAUCGACUGUGAGGUAGCUGGCGACACAGGGCUGUCCGGUGGUGAGGAAACUGGCAGUGAGCUAUCAGGCAGUGAGUUAUCUGGCGAUGUCGACUCGUCCCUUUCAAGGUUUUCAACAUUGUUUCCAUGUGAAUGAUCACCACUUGUCUCCAAGACAUUACCACUUAAUUCCAAUUCAUUCACAUCAUUAUUUUCGUGUGAAUGAUCACCACUUAUUUCCAAGACAUCACCACUUAAAUCCAAAUCAUUCACUCUAUCUAUAUCUGAAAUAGUAUAAUCAAGAGUUUGAACUUUUUUCUGAUUCUCCCCCUGAAGUGAAAACUCGGGAUUGGCAAAGUACAUAUCAUUCUCAUGAAACGCAACAUCCAUAGUGACAAACAACUUAUUCGUCGGUGGGUGAUAACAACGGUAUCCUUUCUGCCUUGAUGCAUACCCCACAAACACAUAUCGUAAGGCUCGAGGUUCAAGCUUACUUCGUUGUUGUUUCUGAAGAUGAACGAAUGCCACACAACCAAACACAUGAGGUGGAAGAUUAGGGACUACAGGAGCAUCAACAUGUGAAGAAAGUGCCUGAAGGGGUGUCUGAAAAUCAACCGAUCGGGAUGGAACACGAUUAAUAAGAUACGCAGCUGAGGUGAGAGCUUCUCCCCAAUAGGAUAACGGGAGACGAGCCUCGAGUAAGGAAGCACGAACAACCUCCAGAAGCUGACGGUUCUUGCGUUCGGCAACCCCAUUUUGUUGUGGAGUAUAUGGACAUGUAGUUUGAUGAACAAUCCCAUAAUGAUCAAGAAAGGCACGAAGUUCAGAGUUUAACAUAUUCGCCACCAUUAUCACUCCUGAGAAACCUGUAUUUGUGACUUAUAUUGUACUUGUACCAUUUUUUGUAAAACUAUUGAAACAAAGAAGUAACUUCACCUUUGGAUUUCAUCAAACAAAACCCAAGUCAUACGUGUGCAGUCAUCAAUAAAAGUAAACGAACCAAUGAGCACCACUAAAUGUAGCAGUUUUAGAUGGACCCCAAACAUCAGAACGAAUUAACAUAAAUGGAACAGAACUUUUAUUCAAACUGGAUGGAAACGAAGCACGAUGACUUUUAGCUAGUUCACAAACACCACAUUUAAAGCUAGAAACAUCAUGCUUACCAAAGAGGCUAGGAAACAACCUCCGUAGAUAGCCGAAAGAAGCAUGUCCAAGUCGACGAUGCCACAACCAAACCUCCGAAGCUUUAUUCCUAUCCCCCGGAUUUCCUUCCACUGCAAGAGCUUGAGUCAACAUUCGAGAACUGUUUGAUGUCAGCUCCAAGUAGUAGAGCUUCCCUUUCCUAAUACCAUAACCAAUCGUCUUGCAAGUCCGAAUAUCCUUAAAAACACAAAAAGAAGGCCAAAAAAUCACAAGGCAAUGCAGGACGACAGUUAUUUGAGCAACAGAUAAUAAAUUAUAGUCAAGAGAAGGCACAACAAGUAUGGUAUCAAGACUAAGGGUAUCUGAAAGGGAGACGGUUCCUUCCCCGAUAACAGGGGCAGGAUUACCAUUGGCGACACUGACGACAGUUUUGGUGGAUGGUUUUAGGGUUUCUACCUGUCUAGAAUCACAAGUCAUAUGUUCAGUAGCACCAGAAUCAAUUAUCCAUGUAUUAUUCGUAACAGAGGUAGAAACCUUUAAAGCCUUACCAUUGUUACCUGUAUUAGCAGAAUCACAAGUCCAGACUGCCAUUCCCAAGCAACUUCAAUCAAUACGUCACUCGGUGAUUGAUAAAGCCCAAAUUUCCAAGCAAACCAAGCCCAAGAAGCUUCAAUUUUUCACGGCUUCAGAUCAAAUCAGAAGCAAAUAGGCCAAUUGGUCUGUCGUGUCACACAACAGAGAGUCAAACGAUUCGAUGAAUUCGAAUCAGCAACGACGGCGUCGCUCGCUGUUCGUUUCGAAUUCAGAGAGGGUAGCAACGACAACAGUCGCUCGCUGAUCGAGGUCGACGCACCACACACGGCUGAGCCGCAACAGUGCUAUCACAGCUAUGGGGUAAUUUUUUUCUUUUUUUUUCCGACCUGGCUCUGAUGCCAAGAAGAGAAUGCUUUGAAUAAUAAUAUAUUCUUCUCAAUAAGAGGAACUUAUAGGUGUACAACCCUAACAUAAAAGGAAAGAAAACUAAUUACAAGUGAUUACAUGGGAUUACAUAUCAAUUAGGGAUCCUACCUAAAAUACAAAAGUCAACAGGUAUGACAUAAUAUUUUUCAAUAUAAUACAUCAAAUUAUAUUUCUUCUUGUUAUGGGUAAAUUAUUCUCCAUGUAUUAGUGAAAAAAAAAGAUAUUAUAUUACACACGGGGUAUAAUUUUUUGUAGGUAAAUUAUUGGAAAUUAAUUUGUAGGUAGGUAAAUUAAUUUGUUCCAAUUAUAUAAAAAUAUAUAUAUACUACACCUAGAUUAUAUAUAUAUAUAUAUAUUUUGAGAAAACCUAGAUUAUAUAUUUUGAAUCAAAUAACAUUUUUGUAUACAUGGUAGGUAAAUUAUUUUUCAUGUAUUAUUACAUAUAUUAGCCUAUUAGGGACGUUUUUUGGUAAAAAUAUAUAAAGUAAUAUGUAUAUGAUUGUUUGUAGGUAAAAGAUAAAAUCAAAAGCAUGAUCCAAUUCCUAAGUUUAUGCAAUAUUUUGUUGUUGGUAUACAAUAUCUUGCAUAAUUGGAAAUGAACAUUUCCAAUAGUAGGUAGGUAAAUUAAUAUGGUCUAAUUAUAUAAACACACACACACACACAUAUAUAUAUAUAUACACACAUUUUGAAUCAAAUAACAUUUUUGUAUAUGGUAGGUAAAUUACUUUUUUUUUUAUGUAUUAUUACAUAUAUUAGGUUUUUUUUUUUUUUUUUGUAAAAAUAUAUAUAUAUGAACUCAUAAUGCCAGAUACAUAGAAUUAAGCCAACAAUUCAAUAUUUGAUAUUAAUAUGCAAUGAAUUUUUUAACAUUAAUGUCUUAUUUUUCUUUUUGCAAAAUUAUUAACUCUCUCCUUACAAUCUGCAUAGAAUUAAUUGUGCACAUCAAAUAUGCAAUAGGGGUAUUUUAGGCAUCUAAAAAUGUAAAAUGUGUAAAGUAAUAUGUAAUUAAUGAAUUCACUUAGGUGGAUCCUAGUCACUGGAAUUUUUUUUUUUUUUGUGUAAAAAAAUUAUGUUGGGUUUUAUAUGAAAAAAUUUGAAUUUGAAGGGUUAAGUCAGAUUUUCAGUUAUUUAUAUUCUAGAUUUUGUAAUCAGUCUUAGUUAUUAUAUCUUUUAUUAAGAAAGUCUUAGUUAUUAUAUCUUUUAUUAAGAAAAUCUGAUUAAAUAUUGAAUUAUAAGACACUAUAAAGUAACUUUAGAACAUACUCCACUAAUGAUCGUGGUAAUUGUACACGCACCUGAGACAUCGAGAGGGGAGUGGCCAUUUUCUUUGAACAGCUCAAAGUGAUGCAACAAUGAGAACAUCGUCGGCGACUGGGUCCAAAGCGAAGCCACCGGAAUAUUCCUCCUAAUCCCGAUCCUCAAAGCCCAAACAAGGAAGGUAUCAGCAACUAUGGCGGUCACCGGCUGCUCGAGCCCAUCCAUAAGCUGCUCAACCGGAGCUUCCAGCUUGGUCCACACAGCUUCCGCAAACGCGGCAAAGUGGUUCGCGCGACCGUGCUCUGAGGGUAGGACGUUAGGUAUGGUGGCUAAUCGGAUGUUGUCGGGUUUUGGGUCGGACUCGAUCAGCCCGUGCCACUCUUCGGUGACGACGAAGGUGAUGAGCAGUUGAGGGUUUUUUGAAGAUAGUAGCUUGCAGAGGUUCAUCAUGGGGUUGAUGUGGCCUCUUCCAGGAGUGGGCAAAGCCACCACGUGGCAGACUGUGAUUGGCUCAACUUCCCCUGUGCCCAUUUCUCCCUUGUAUGAAGAUUGAAUAUUGAAGCUUUGGAGCUAUUGCCAUCCCUUCUUAUGUAUAAUAUGCAAGUUGACUGAAGGGUCAUGGGGAGCUGCUUGCGUGAAACUCUUUGAAGACAAAAAUACCCUCAUGGUCGCCAUGAGUGUAACAAGUGUGUAAAAAGUAUUUGUGAUUGACGCUUUGUCCAAUUAAUCUUGGAAAGCGAUUCUCCUGAUUCUUUCUUCAUAAUCCACCAAAUUCAAAAAUUCAGGCUGUUGAAAUUUGAUUUUACGGCUACAAACAGGGGCCCAAUUUAAAAGUUAUAUUAACUUUAGUCGUUGAAUCAAAUUUCAACAAUCCGGAUUCCCGAACUUGAUGGAUUAUAAGAAAUGGAUCCGAAGAUGAUCUCUUUCCAUUAAUCUUUUUCAAAAGUAUAUAAAAGGAAUUUUCAAUUGACUCUUUUUAAAUAGUCAUUUUCAAAUUUCUUUCGUAUGUCUUUGUAACGCACAUGUUGUAGAAAAUGCGGAUCGUUUUUCUUGACAAAGUGAGUAGAAAAUUCGAUGUUAGGGCAAGCAUGAGCCAUGCCUUUCAACCCACGUGGGAUCUAGAAGUUGACACCCAAAUGUAAACUUGAAAAGUAUUUUUUUUUUGUUGGAAAUUUGAAAAGUAACAUUAAGAAAACUAAAAAGUAAUGCUAGGCAGAUUAAACUAGCAAACUAAAUGAUGUGUCACUAAUAAAAAUAAAUAAACACGUUAAUCAAUAGUUAAUAAUAAUUCAAUUAUUAACUUUCAUUUUAAUUUAUUAAAUUUAGUCAACAAAUGUAGUCACCAUAACAUUAUCCAAAACUAAAAUGGAUCCACCUCUUCUUCUUAUCCAGCAACCUUAGAUCCCAAUAGGUUGACGGAGAACAACACCACGUACCUCUCCACUGGAAACUCCCACCUCGAUCACUUCGUCAACAUCGUGACGAGAAGCUCCCGCAAGCCUGGGCCUACAAGGUGCGGAGGACCCAACGGGUGGAGUGGAGGAAAAGGAAAAGGAAAAUUAAAUAUUAAAGAGAAAAACCUUUAGUAUAUCCAUUCUCGGUACAAUUAAAUAAGAAAAGCGUUUCUAAGAGCAGUAGAUAAGCAACACCUAUCCCAAAUAUGGAACCGGAUCCUCUCCGGAUCCAAGAGAUCUGAGUACACUAAUUAAUGCAUAUAGGCUAUUGAAAUUAGAUCAAACGACUACAAACAGAGAGUUUAUCUGAAAGUUAUAAUAAUUGUAGUUGUUGGAUCAAAUUUCAAUUGUCUGGAUACAUUGAUUAGUGGGCACAUAUCUUUUUGAAUCCGGAGGGGAUCCAGUUCCCCCAAUUAUGAAUAUCUUGAAUACAAUAUCUUAAGUUUAUAAUAUUUUUUUUAGUACAUAUAACACAACCGAACCCAAAUCACCAACACAAUCUCUCCACUCAGAAGCAUCUCCACGAGCCACCCAAAAAACCCUAACACAACUACUUUUCACCGCAGCAGCAAUUUCAUCCAUUUGGGAUUUCGAAACUGAUCGGAAACUUCCCCUGGAGAUGUACAAAACUGACUUUUUGGGUUGAGAAUCUAGCCAAUGCAGAUAAUCGAUGUCGUUUUGAUUAGUGGGAAGAGUUUUUGAAAGUUCAAAGUGAGGUAUGGAUGGGCCAGUAGGGUAGAUAGGGAAAGCAAACGUGGCCUUGAAGGCUUCAAAGACUUGCGGAUCAAGCUCGUAGACUGAAGUGAACAAAAGAUACUGUGCUUUCUCUACUACUUGAGCAACUGCUUCAAGGGCCUUGGGGACGACAUUUUGAUGGUCUGCAAAAAACGCUGGAGAUAGAUCUGCAAGCUUGUGGUGCUGACUCCAGGAAUGUAUUCUACCAUCUCAUCUCCACGUUCUGCAAUUUUCACAUAACAUUUUACGUCGUGCAACAUUAUUAUAUUGUAUAUUAACCAAGAAAAAAUGUUUUUUCUUUUACAAAACCUUAAAAUUUAAGAUCCUCAAAAUUAUAGAGCAUGCAUAUAAGAAAAGUAUCUGCUAUGUAAGUAUUACAGUUGAGAAUAACUAAAUUAAAUAAUACAAAUUGUUCAUAAGAAUGUCUUAAGCUCGCAAAUACAUCUACUUGUUUAUAAAUUAGAGAAUGGCUGUACGCAAUUUUUUUCAAACUGAUACAAUUAUUUCUGGCAUAUGAAUAAAAUAUUAAGUGUCUUAAGUAUAUGAAUAAAAUAAUAUAAGAAAAUAUAACGAAAAAUCCUUAAAAACUUUAGUUUUAAUUAAAAUGACAAAAUAAAGGUAUAAGUAUGGUACCAUGAGUGAUUUUUCAAGGUAAAAAUAUUAUUAACGUUAAAUGUGAACAAUACCAUAAGUAUUUCAUUAAUAUUUCCUAAAAUAUAAUAUAUUGUCUUAAGCUAAGGAAGAAUCUAAUGUUUUUUUAAAGGGGUAUAAUUGGUGAUGAAUCACAAUUAUUCACCUAUUUAGAUUCAAAGAAAGUAAAAAUUACAUCUUAUUUUUAAUUACGAUCAAAUAAAUUCACAACUUACAAAUUAAAGACCAUGGCAUAUAAAAUUCAUAUGGUCAUGGUCAAUUUUGAGCUUUCAAGUGCAAAAUUGUUAAUAAAGCACAAAUUCAUCUCAGAAGUCUCUAACACCUCCCGAUAAUACAGGCCACGUGCUUUAUCCUUUUGGCAAGUGGCAUGUGACAAAUUACCAACUUGGAAGACAAAAAAGCAUUUAAUAUUUCAGGGUUCGUAAUCAUUCUCAGUUAUACGCAUCAAAAUCUUUCGCGCAACUGUGCUCGAAGGGUAUGACGUUGGGUAUGGUGGCUAAUCGGAUGUUGUCGGGUUUUGGGUCGGAUUCAAUGAACCCGUGCCACUCUUCGGUGAUGACGAAGGUGAUGAGGAGUUGAGGGUUUUUUUGAAGAUAGUAGCUUGCAGAGGUUCAUCAUGGGGUUGAUGUGGCCUCUUCCCAGAUAAGGCAAAGCCACCACGUGGUAGACUGUGAUUGUCUCAACUUUCGCUGUGCCUAUUUCUCCCUUGUUUGAAAACUUUGAAGCUUUGAAGCUAUUGCUAUCCCUUCUCCUAUAUAAUCUAAAUUACAUAUUAAUAGAACUCUCAUUGUUAAUCAAAAAUUUAUAAAAUUACUAAUUUAAUUCUCUAAUUAAAAUUGAACAUGAAUAAGAAAUAUGGGCAGAAAUGUAAUCUUCCACAACCAAAAUUUUGUUUUUUUUAAAGCCUCACAUACAUGUGAUUCUAAUAUAUCUCUAAUAAAAAUUAAAAAUUAAAAUAAUAAAAUAAAAAAUAAAGCUCUCUCUCCUCGCUCACUCUCUUCCUCUCUCCUUCACUUAAAAAAAAACACUCACACACACACACACACACUUUGUGUGCGGCCAUAUACUAGUAUAUAAUAAGGAAAAAUAAUGAAAAAAGCUUCAAAAUUGUGAAUUUUAACUAAAAAUUUUGUAAUAAUUUUAUUUAAUAAUAAGGGAAGAGGUUCCUCUUCAGAUCCUCUUUGUGGGGAUCCGGAGGAUCAAUCAAUCGUGUCUAUUCAUCGUACAUCGUGCGGUUAAAAAUAAUCUUAAAUUUUAAUUUAAAAUUGAAUAUAAAUAGUAUUUAACAAAAACUGAUCGCAUGAUGUACGAUAAACGGAUACGAUUGAUUGAUCCUCGGUUCCCACAAAGAGGAUUUGGAGAGGAUCCUUGUCCGUUAAUAAGGACAAGAUAGAAAAAUAGAAAGAAAAAAAAAACCAAAAUAAAGGUGCGUGUAAGGAACUUCAGGCCAAGAAGACUUCUUCCAAAAUAGUGUCAGAUAAAGGCAUGCCAACUUGUAUUCAGUUUCAGCAAUAGUGUCCUUGUUCUGCUUUAGAAAUUAGUGUAGUACCUAUGUAGUUUCUGAAAUAAUUAGCGUUUAAUUUUCAGAAAUAGUGUUCAGUUUCAGAAAUAAUAUAGUACCGUUCAGUUAUAAAAAUAGUGUAAUACUGUUCAGUUUUAGAAAUAGUGUGUGUGAUGGACGCAAGCGCGUCAUUUUUUUUCUUGUAUUAAUAUAUUGAACUUUUGUUAUUUUCAUUAAAAUUUUAAGUUUUUUUUUUCAUUAAAUAAAUUUAUAAAAUGAUUUUUUUUCUAAAAUAAACUUAGACGAUACCUAUAUAUAUGCAAAUAGACUAGGGAGCUGCUUAUGAAACUCCUUGAAAGACAAAAAUACCCCCAUUGCCUCCGUCAGCAUUACAAAAGCGUAUAAAAAUGAUUCUCCUCAGCAGGUCAUUGAAGUCUUCAACAAUAUAGCCAAUGGCAGACAUAAUAAUGGUAGAAUCCUUUAGUGCUGAGACGAUUUGAAGCAAAUUCGACUAUCAAUAGACAUUUACCCAAGAAAUUUUUAAGUACAUAUAACACAACCAAACUGCAAAAAGAAAAUAAACUCCUCACUCAUAUUGAUACCUCUAGUUAUAAGUUGAAUAUAACAAUUGUAUUGAAACGCAAGCAAUCGUGUCUAAGAGCUACCACAUUCAUCAGCUUAAUGGCAAUUAUAUCCUUGUGAAAUAUCCUUAAUAAAAGCAUCAAGGUUUCUAUCAGAUGAGCCACCAUUAGCAAUUGCACCUCGACAAAUCUCUUGAAGUUGUUUAGCUCUUUCCCUCAAAUCUUUCCCUUCCUCGCUUUCCACAUCCAUAAACUUCUUCACAAUUUCUCCAAUUUCCUCGCUACUCACAAGAA
rnacentral:lncRNA from 1 species